GAGCAGCUAAAAUAUAACUUCGGUUCUGCCAUGCCAUCUCAUACAUACAGAGGCUUGUGUGAUGCCACACAAAAAAGCUCUUUCGCACAAAAAGCUCCAUUACUUUAUGUCGCCUACGAGUUUUUACAGUUGUGGUUCUGGGAAUACCUCCCUGUAGGACGACCUCAUAUAGUACAACCUAUACACCCAUACGACUUUAGCAAGGAUGGCUGCGCAAUUAUGGCCACCAGAUGGACAAAGGCACGGAAACGUUGGUCUCCAGAUAUUGCGAAAAAUUGUUACCCUAUGUACCACCAGCAGUUUGAGAUACUUGAUGAGGUAGAAGUCACAUGGAACCCGUGGACUCAGGACCAGCUACAAAUGGUCUUUGAUGCUCGAUCCUUCACACCAGGCAUGUUGAGCGAUAGUGCAUUCUGGUUGACUCGCUGCAACUUAUUGUUCCUGUAGUGUGUUGAGCCUUACAACCCAGAGCGUGUAAUGAGACAGUUCGGUCUCUAUCAAGAAAUUCCACCACCUUUUCUAAGACGUAUCAAUGAGGAAACCCAUAAGUAAGAUGUGACCUCCCUAAAUAGUUAGUGUCUAUUUUAAUUUACUAAACUCACACUUUGUUACAUAAUUUGCAGGCUAAUCAAUAUGGGCAAGGGUUGGAGUUUAUACGAUUAGAGGGAGCAAAACAAUGAAUGGAUACACAAGUGGGAAAAUGAAGCGCUAGCAGAUAUAGUGCAUCAACUUAGACCGUAUGAUGGAAGUACAGAUCAAGCGUACAAGCAAUGGUACUGCAUGAACACACGUGCUAGCCUGGCCAGUCAGCCAGCUACUAUACCAACACAUCUCACACAGGAGGAGCAGGCGCGGAGACAUAUUGAGCUGCAUGCAGCUUACUAUCGUGACCAGAUGGUAAUCACUUGUAACUUUUUUAGGUUCAUCAUUUCAAAAUCAUUUGAACUAAAUAAAAUCCAAAUAUUGUUCAGCUUGAAAGUUGCAACGAAGUAGGGCAGAUGGCUACGGACAGCAUGCCGGCCCAGGGCACAGCUCGCCCAUCAUUCCAGAAACGUUUUCAACAAUAGAUGGCAACAAAGUUUAGAUGCGGUAGAGGCGACGAUGUUGUCACUGGAGCGUAUAACAUGCCGGUAGUGAGGUCAGCCAGACCAAGUGUGCCGCCGUCGUUCAGUCCAAGCGAGGCGCGUACGAGCCAUGGGCAAUGGGGGGAGGGUCCGAGUACUAGAACGACAUUUCCACGACAUGACUCAUCUCUACCACUGCAUCGCUCUUCUUCGGUGCAGCUUCGUCAGGGGCAGACAUCUCAGGACCAUGGCACGGGCUUGGAUUCAAUGCCCGAGCAGACUCUUUCCCCUAACCCAUAUGCGUACACAGGAUAUGAUGCAUACACCCAAGGUGAGGGAUCUCAGUCGUAUCUCUCCACGUGAGGGAUCCCCAUGCCCAAGGAGACUCGUGUACCAGAUUUAAACUAGCACCACGUACCAUGGCCAGACAGUACAGGCGAGGGAUCUGAUCAGGACAUACAUGAUAUUAAUUGGGGCGAUGAGAACACCCAACGUGGCGUCAACACAGGCGUCCUGGGAGCAUCACAUCAUCAUGGCGACACGGUUCGCAACAAGGAUUCGCGACUCCACCACCUACGCAGGACUCACAGACACAUGAAGCCGAAUUGGAGUACGGCCGCGGUCUUCGUGUAACUUGGCCACCUAAUCGUUUGUCGCCUUCCGGUCGUAAGGAAAGGCCAGGUGGUCGUCGGAAAGUAGGGUGAUUCAUCUAUCCACGUGUGCGACCCAUUGUAUCUACAUAUGUCAGUAUCAUACUUUUCGAUUUGAACAUCUAUGUAUGCUGAAAUAAAAAUGCACCAGUCAGGAACAU